GGGCUGCAGGGCUGCAGGGCUGCAGGGCUGGGGCGGGGAGGGGGCCCGCUAGAGACCACCCUGGAGAGAGAAAGACCAGCUCCUAGGGCCAGGGAAGAGAACUGCUGGGCCCUGCCGUGUCAGCUGAGAGGACCCUUGAAAGAGCAGCUGGUGUUUUAUAGAUGAGGAGCCUCAGUCCCAGAGAGAGGAAGUGCCUGUCACAGGAUCCCACUGCCGGUUCCUGGCCAUAUGGAGGCAGGAAGUUGUUUUCCUGAAUCCCCAGUGUCCUUCCCACCCCUUGAUCCCCUCCGAAGGACCCUGAGGUACAGAAUGGCUGAGCUGCGCCUCUUCUGUAGCUGCACCCACCACACACAGGGACCUGGGACCCAUCAGUGCCCCCAGCACUGAAGACCAGGCCUUUGGCUCCUACCAAGUACCUUCCUCGAAGACCCUGAGGGGCUGUUGCCUGGAGAGCAGAGUCCCCGGAGUCCACAAGCCUGGUGAGGCAGGCACCAGCACUGAUGCCAACAGCACAUCACUGGCCUCAGACACUUACGGCAGUGCUGCCACAGGAAAGACAGCCGCAAGGGAGGCUGUCCGGUGGCCUGCUCACUCUGAGGAUGCAGCCCAGCCUGGGCACUGCAGGAUAGAUGCAAGAGGAGAGAAGAUGCCAAGCUCCCAGGACCUCAAACACACCUCAGGGCCUUUGCACGUGCAGUUCCCUCCAUCAGUUCCCAUGCCUUCCCUGCUCCAUGCCAUCUAGAAAAUGGCUCCACAUCUUUCAAGUGUCAUGUCCAAUGCCCCCUUCCCUGUGAAGCCAGCCCCACCGUCCCGAGCCUCCGCAGU
rnacentral:lncRNA from 1 species